CGAAAAUUUCGUUGUCAAAGGUAUAGUAUACCUUCUCUAAAUGGUAGCUGUGAUGGUAGUGUAUCGGUGUUUCUUGAAGGAAGAAGUUCGCGUGUAGGAUGUCGGUUACGCUGCACACGGACCUAGGUGACAUAAAGGUCGAGCUGUUUUGCGAAGCAUGUCCGAAGACAACCGAGAAACGCCAGGAUGUUCGAGAGUCACAUGCGAGGGAAGAGCUGUCUGCGAUGGAAGGAUAACUUCAGAUGUUUUAGGAGGAGCUCCCAUGCUUGUGGCAGAACAGAAUUUCUUGGCCCUUUGUGCUUCAGACUACUACAAUGGCUGCCUCUUCCACCGCAACAUCAAGGGCUUCAUGGUGCAGACAGGCGACCCUACAGGUACGGGAAAAGGAGGUGAGAGCAUCUGGGGUGAAAACUUCGCCAACGAAAUUCAGGAUGGACUCAAGCACAGUGUGCGGGGAGUGGUCUCCAUGGCAAACAAUGGGCCCAACACAAAUGCAUCACAGUUCUUCAUCACAUACGCCAAGCAGCCCCAUUUGGACCAGAAGUACACAGUCUUUGGAAAGCAAACUUAUGGAGCUUCUCAGCCUCAAUCACCAUAACAGAUUUAUGAAGCCAAAUCACCUGUUCCCUUCUACAAUGUUUGGAUUCGGGGCAGGGCUCUCCACCCAAGAUGUGAUGCUCCAGCUCAAAGAGGAGGGUCAUUGACGGCUUGGACACCCUGGAAGAACUCGAAAAGGUGCCGGUGAACCCAAAGUAUCGGCCUCUUCGAGAUAUCAAGUUAA
rnacentral:misc_RNA from 1 species